rnacentral:rRNA from 1 species
UACGAAGGGGGCUAGCGUUGCUCGGAAUUACUGGGCGUAAAGCGCACGUAGGCGGCUUUCUAAGUCGGGGUGAAAUCCUGGAGCUCAACUCCAGAACUGCCUUUGAUACUGAAGAUCUUGAGUUCGGGAGAGGUGAGUGGAACUGCGAGUGUAGAGGUGAAAUUCGUAGAUAUUCGCAAGAACACCAGUGGCGAAGGCGGCUCACUGGCCCGAUACUGACGCUGAGGCACGAAGCGUGGGAGCAACAGG